AUUGAACGCUGGCGGCAUGCCUAACACAUGCAAGUCGGGCGAGCGGCGUACGGGUGAGUAAUGUAUGGGGAUCUGACUGACGGAGGGGGAUAACUACUGGAAACGGUAGCUAAUACCACAUACCUUCAGAUGAACCCAUAUGGGAUUCCCUUGUAGGUGAGGUAACGGCUCACCUAGGCGACGAUCCCUCGCUGGUCUGAGAGGAUGAUCAGCCACACUGAGACUCAGACACGGCCCAGACUCCUACGGGAGGGAGCAGAAAGGAAUCUUCGUCAAUAGCCGAAAGGCUGAACGUGCAAGGCCGGGUAAGUGAAGAGGGUUUUCGGAUCGUAAAACUAUGUUGUUAGAAACGGUAUCUAACCAGAAAGCCACAGCUAACUACGUGCCAGCAGCCGCGGUAAUAC
rnacentral:rRNA from 1 species